GAGUCCGUAGCUCAGUUGGCUAGAGCGUUUCGUUGACAUCGAAGAGGUCACUGGUUCAAGUCCAGUCGGACUCACCA
rnacentral:tRNA from 1 species